rnacentral:tRNA from 1 species
AAAAAGUUGGCAGAGUAAUGCAUUUGGCUUAGGACCAACAAACGGAUAAAUAUUCCACUUUUUA